GACGAACGCUGGCGGCGUGCUUAACACAUGCAAGUCGAACGGAAAUGCCCUGCUUUUGUGGGGUUCUCGAGUGGCGAACGGGUGAGUAACACGUGAGUAACCUGCCCUUGACUUUGGGAUAACUUCAGGAAACUGGGGCUAAUACCCGAUAGGACCUCCUGCUUCAUGGUGGGGGUUGGACAGUUUCGGCGGUUGGGGAUGGACUCGCGGCUUAUCAGCUUGUUGGUGGGGUAGUGGCUUACCAAGGCUUUGACGGGUAGCCGGCCUGAGAGGGUGACCGGCGACAUUGGGACUGAGAUACGGCCCAGACUCCUACGGGAGGCAGCAGUGGGGAAUAUUGCACAAUGGGCGGAAGCCUGAUGCAGCAACGACGCGGGCGAGAUGACGGCCUUCGGGGUGUAAACCGCUUUCGCCUGUGACGAAGCGUGAGUGACGGUAAUGGGUAAAGAAGCACCGGCUAACUACGUG
rnacentral:rRNA from 1 species